rnacentral:rRNA from 1 species
UCCGUAGGUGAACCUGCGGAAGGAUCAUUACUGAGUGCGGGCUGCCUCCGGGCGCCCAACCUCCCACCCGUGAAUACCUAACACUGUUGCUUCGGCGGGGAACCCCCUUGGGGGCGAGCCGCCGGGGACUACUGAACUUCAUGCCUGAGAGUGAUGCAGUCUGAGUCUGAAUAUAAAAUCAGUCAAAACUUUCAACAAUGGAUCUCUUGGUUCCGGCAUCGAUGAAGAACGCAGCGAACUGCGAUAAGUAAUGUGAAUUGCAGAAUUCAGUGAAUCAUCGAGUCUUUGAACGCACAUUGCGCCCCCUGGCAUUCCGGGGGGCAUGCCUGUCCGAGCGUCAUUGCUGCCCAUCAAGCCCGGCUUGUGUGUUGGGUCGUCGUCCCCCCCGGGGACGGGCCCGAAAGGCAGCAGCGGCACCGUGUCCGGUCCUCGAGCGUAUGGGGCUUUGUCACCCGCUCGACUAGGGCCGGCCGGGCGCCAGCCGACGUCUCCAACCAUUUUUCUUCAGGUUGACCUCGGAUCAGGUUGGGAUACCCGCUGAACUUAAGCAUAUCAAUAAGCGGAGGA